rnacentral:rRNA from 1 species
AGCAGCCGCGGUAAUUCCAGCUCCAAUAGCGUAUAUUAAAGUUGUUGCAGUUAAAAAGCUCGUAGUUGAAUUUCGGGAUCAAUUUAUUGGUCGUGCUAUUGUACGUACUGGUAUUAUUGAUUCCUACCUUCUGACGAACCAUGAUGUCAUUAAUUUGGUGUCAUGGGGAAUCAGGACUGUUACUUUGAAAAAAUUAGAGUGUUUAAAGCAGGCUCACGCUUGAAUACAUUAGCAUGGAAUAACGAAAUAGGACGUUUGAUUCUAUUUUGUUGGUUUCUAGGAUCGACGUAAUGAUUAAUAGGGAUAGUUGGGGGCAUUAGUAUUCAAUUGUCAGAGGUGAAAUUCUUGGAUUUAUUGAAGACUAACUACUGCGAAAGCAUUUGCCAAGGAUGUUUUCAUUAAUCAAGAACGAAAGUUAGGAGAUCGAAGACGAUCAGAUACCGUCGUAGUCUUAACCAUAAACUAUGCCGACUAGGGAUCGGAUGAUGUUAAUUUUUAAUGUACUCU